GACGAACGCUGGCGGCGUGCUUAACACAUGCAAGUCGAACGGAAAGGCCCUGCUUUUGUGGGGUGCUCGAGUGGCGAACGGGUGAGUAACACGUGAGUAACCUGCCCUUGACUUUGGGAUAACUUCAGGAAACUGGGGCUAAUACCGGAUAGGAGCUCCUGCUGCAUGGUGGGGGUUGGAAAGUUUCGGCGGUUGGGGAUGGACUCGCGGCUUAUCAGCUUGUUGGUGGGGUAGUGGCUUACCAAGGCUUUGACGGGUAGCCGGCCUGAGAGGGUGACCGGCGACGUUGGGACUGUGAUACGGCCCAGACUCCUACGGGAGGCAGCAGUGGGGAAUAUUGCACAAUGGGCGGAAGCCUAAUGCAGCAACGCCGCGUGCGGGAUGACGGCCUUCGGGUUGUAAACCGCUUUCGCCUGUGACGAAGCGUGAGUGACGGUAAUGGGUAAAGAAGCACCGGCUAACUACGUG
rnacentral:rRNA from 1 species